CCGAACAGCGGGAGGUUUCAUAUACCCGCUUUAUAAAUUGUCUCGGCCACCGCCAUGAAAGAGGGGCGAGUGGUCAUACCCCGUGAAAUGAAUUCGUUAUGCGAAGUUGGGCGAGGGGCGUCUCGCCGAGGGUCUUUCGCUAGACUCUCGAACCAAAGCGCACCCCACACAUUCAACCCCACUAAACUCUGAAUCUGAACUCAAAGGGAGGCAGGCGGCGCUCGUCGCCGCGGCCCCCCCAACCUUUAACGUU
rnacentral:misc_RNA from 1 species